CCGACCUUAGCUCAGCUGGAAGAGCGCGAGACUGUAAAUCUUGAGGUCGCCUGUUCGAGCCAGGCAGGUCGGA
rnacentral:tRNA from 1 species